rnacentral:rRNA from 1 species
GACGAACGCUGGCGGCGUGCUUAACACAUGCAAGUCGAACGGAAAGGCCCUGCUUGUGUGGGGUGCUCGAGUGGCGAACGGGUGAGUAACACGUGAGUAACCUGCCCUUGACUUUGGGAUAACUUCAGGAAACUGGGGCUAAUACCGGAUAGGAGCUCCUGCUGCAUGGUGGGGGUUGGAAAGUUUCGGCGGUUGGGGAUGGACUCGCGGCUUAUCAGCUUGUUGGUGGGGUAGUGGCUUACCAAGGCUUUGACGGGUAGCCGGCCUGAGAGGGUGACCGGCCCCAUUGGGCCUGAGAUACGGCCCAGACUCCUACGGGGGGCAGCAGUGGGGAAUACUGCACAAUGGGCGGAAGCCUGAUGCAGCAACGCCGCGUGCGGGAUGACGGCCUUCGGGUUGUAAACCGCUUUCGCCUGUGACGAAGCGUGAGUGACGGUAAUGGGUAAAGAAGCACCGGCUAACUACGUG